UCAAACAUUGCUUCCCCUUGAACAUCUCCCAAGAUGGCCCUCUUUUGCCUUCUGGCUCACUUGCCCCACUCUUCAGCUGGUCACUGGACACAGGAACUUGCCGUUCCUAGAUUCAUCUGAACACACGGCACCUUGAGACAGUAGCUCCACCUUCCCAGGACUUCCAAAAGCCUGGAGGAUGGGAUGGGUGGGCAAAAGUAAAGGGCUCAGCCUCACUAUCUCACAGAAACUGCACAGAUCAAAGUCAAGUGUCCACCAUCACAGCGCAGUCUCUUCCUCAAUCACAGGGCAUGCUCCUGACUUAUGGGGUCUCUGUGGUAAAGACAGAUGAGGAGUGUCCGUCUCUGACCUCUCUCUGGGCUGAACAUCCAGUUCACUGUUCUUAGCUCCCAUGGAGUUGGAUAAUCACACUCACGUUGUAGGGUGUAGGGGACACCCUACAACGACCUUCAGGUUGAAGCUCCAAGGAGAGCCUGAGAAAAGAGAGUGGAUGCAUGAAAUACAGAAAUAAUGUCCAAUGUUUUCUAUACUCAAUGAAAAUAAGGAACCCACAGAGGCAAGAAAUUCAGGAAGCUGCAAUCAGAGAAAGAAAAUCAUACGUUUUUUUAACAUAACGAAAAGGAGAAAAUCACAAACCUUGUCAGUGGGAAAGAUGCAGGACAGAAAAGGAUGUCACUUGGGUCACUGCCAGGAAGAGAUGUGAGUCAGAAACAAAGGAACAAGGUGGAACCAACACAGCUUGAUGGAGCACCGAAAGCAAAAGUUCUCUAUACCCAAGAGAUGGCUCUCCAAAGACGAGGCUGACUCGAAGACUCCAUAGGUGUAUAAAAGUGGAGAGAAGCCAGUUUCACACCCGGCAUGUACAGUCACGGGUAGGGGUGACACCAGGGAACCACAUGUACCUGCUGGGAAAUCAGAGAGCAGAAAAGAAGGCGCUGCACAUAAGUGGACAUAUCUCAAGGUUCUUCAACGUCUUCAAAAAACAACCACACUGUAUCGGCUUAAAAUACAGGAAGCAAAA